GGGAGAGAAAUUUGGAAGAAGAAAAGCCAUUGCCUUCUUUGUUAUCCUUCAAUUUGGAGUCUCAGUUUCAGCUUCUCAUGUGAAAAGCUCUAGAGAUAGAAAAAGGAGGACGGUUUGUGUUCUGCGUAUUGUGCUUGGUGUUUUGUGUGUUGUGUGUAUUGCUGGUUGGAACAGAAUGAGCAUUUGAUUUUUGGCGUUGAUAUAUGAGUGGUUUUGAACAUGGCCAUGAAUAUGUCUUUUGUUCUGAUUGGAAAGUGCUUGAAAGUGGACCAGGUGAAAAACCCAAAACUUGUGGCUCUUGCACUCUUUCCCCCCCUCGACUUUGGUGUAUUUCUUUGACAUCAAAGACAUGCAAAAAUAUCUUCUUGCUAUGGAGCCCCUUUGUUCUCCUACAACUACAAGUGCUCUGUUGGCAUCUAAAAACUUGAUUUUCAACCUCUUUUUUCUUUUCAACUUUCAAUUGUAUCCUUAUUCAUUCAACAUGGAAAAAUGAAACCCUGAACUCUAAACUUCUCUAACUGAUCCCUUUUGAUAAAUAUUUUAAGUUAGAAGAAAUAAGUAUUUUCUACAAGGAGAUUGUUGCACGUUUCAUUCUUGAAUAUUCAAUUCAAACUCAUACUAGUAUGAAGUCGUGGCCAAAAUACAUCUUUCCGUUUAAAAAAUAAAAAUGAAAGUAAAUUUGGUCACUACACCCUGUAGUUUAUUAAGUAAACUGAAAGAAAUCUUCCUUCAAAAUCAAAAGCUCUCUCUCUCUCUCUCUCUCUCUCUCUCUCUCUCUCUCUCUCUCUCUCUCUCUCUCUAUCUAAAUGUAAUUUAUGGUUGGAUACUAGGAUAAUGGGAAUCGAAGAAGAUAAUGAAAUCUUGGGAUAAGACCAAAUCUAAGUUAAGUUAGAAGUGUAUUAUUAAACAGAUGUCUAUCAGAGUGGGCUCAUGCCUAAUUGUCUGCCUCAGUUUGAUUGGAAGUGUACAUGGAAUGGAAGGGUUAGAACCAUUUAGAUAAGGCUGCUUUUUUUCCAAGGAUGACAAAACAAUGCAAAAGGUUAAAACCCCUUGCCAAGAAUCUUCCAUUCAGAAAGCACAUUCCUUUUAGGAUAUACCCGCUUUGUUCCUUCUAAUCCAAUUUCUCAUUGCUAGUGGGAAUAGCGUAGAUGUUGAGCUAUUCCAUCUCUACUCAUAUAACAGAGGGUCAAAAUUUUCAGAUAAUCAAUAAAUAUUUAUAUAAAUCUCCUUUCUCAAUCGCUUGUAAAAAUUUAAAAAAAAAAAAAAUCAGUUUAUCAUUAGGCUGGCACCUCACUCUCUCACUUUUAACAUUCGCCAUGUGUUAGCGUUGGGAAAAGUUCUAGAAAAAUCUUUAUUGAACUAUUGUUGUAAUAUUGUAAUCGAUUAGUUUUUUAUUUUCUGGUUAAUUGUAAUUUAUUUCUGUUUCUUUUGGUGUUUUUACAAACAUAGGGGAAAUUCAUUUUCUCUGAGUUUCUCUUGUCAUCAAAUACUAGAAACCAGACAUCAUGUUAACAAUUAAAUGAAUGAGUAUUCUACCAACAACAAAAAUGAAUAUUCUUGACAAGUUCCACUGCAUGUACUCAAUUUGUUGGAAACUCAGUUAAAGAUUUUGGGUUUAAAUCAAGGUCGAUUGGGUUCAAUUUCAUUAUUUAGGAGCAGCUGUUCUGUAAACUUCAACCAACCCAUUUAAUUCGGAUGAGUGAUUGUUCUCUAGGAUUUCUAGAUCCUGACAUGAAUGAGUGCUCACCAGUUUCUCCAGCCUGAUCAUAAAUCACUGUCUCUGCAUUUCUUUUGCCUUGUCCAGGUUUGGAUGCCAAUGGAUAUGAAAUCCUAGUUUUCUAAAGCAAUUUGUUAUCCAAGUAAUUUAGAACCUGAUCUUGGAAAUCAGGUGGUCAUAAAUAUCCCAACAAUUACUACUGUCAUCAUUAACACUAAAACUUGCACAAUACAACGGACUGAUAGUUUGAAAUAAAAUACUUGAAUAUGGGAACAUCUGAAUGCAUAAACCUUAGGAAAAAGGCAAAUGUCAGAAUCUCAACUCCCAAGAAUCUCUCUUGGCAACGUACAGCACUGAAAACCCUAUAGCAAUAAGAGCAUCAGAGACUCUAAUUUGUUGCCUUAUAUGACCUCCCGCCUUGCGCCGCCUAGGCGGCCGUCUUGCGGCUAGGCGCCGAUUUGUCGAAGACUUUAAGCAGUGAAUUGAAAAUUGGAAAUUGGAUCUAUAACUUUGAAUGUAGGAACAUCUGAAUGCAUAAACCUUAAGAAAAGAAAGGCAAAUGCCAGAAUCUCAGUUCCCAGAAUCGCUGUUGGCAACGUACAGCACUAAUAACGCUAUGGAAAUAAGCGAAUCAGAGACUCUAAUUUGUUGCCUUUUUCAUAGCAAAUCCAACAAACCCAACACAAAUCAAUUGCUUGUUCGUUCAUCUAAACCCUUCAACAAAAACACCCAUCUAAAAAAGACUACAACUUUACCCAAAAUCAACACAAAAUUUUCAUCAAUGAAAAUAAGAAGGCUCAGAGUGUAAAGUUAAGUUGGCAUCAACAAGCCCCAAAAAGAGAGCUUUCAUAGUUUGAUGGUAUACAGAUUUAGUCAUCACUGCCUCUUCUAUACACCAGAAAUUAAAAGAAAAGGAAAACAGAGGAAAACAGAAAAAUUCAGGAAGAGGCCUCAGAAGCUAGUGAUAGAAACAUCAAAGAUUUUCUCAGAUGGUACGGACAAUAUCAAAACAUCACAGGCCAAAUUUUAUCAAACAGAACAAACACACAAAACAAUUGCAAAGGUAGCAGAGAGGGGCUGAAAGAUGGAGAGGCUGAGACCUGCGCUUAGCUGAGAAAACUUGGUUUGUUUGAAGCGAGGUCAUGAGGUGUGUUUAAAUAGUAGGGAGAAGAAACCACCAAAACCCUAGUGGUGUUAAAUUACCAUGAUGUCCUUGGUUGGGAUGGGUUGGGCUGGAGGUCAGUCCCAUUUGGAAUUGGGUUAAGGAACUUUUAGCCCAUUUGAGAAAUUAGAGGCCCAAUUCUUGUUUUGAGUAAAAUUACUGCAACCCACAUUAAUCCAGCUUCAUAUUUGUCAUUUUAAGUAAGGAUUACUGACCUUACUAUUGGUUUAUUGAUAUUAUCUCCACAAAAUUGCUGAGUCUCGUUGUCGUGCAACUAACUCAAUUGGUUUAGAGCAUUUAUCUUGAACAUUCUUGUUUGUAUAAGUCAAGUGUCUUGAAGAAUUAACCCAACCAUCAUGGGCGAUUUUCUUUUUGUUUUCGGAUGGUUGAAUUAAGAGAAUGAAAAUAUAGCAUAUUUUACUUACUUGACACAUUGGCCCUUGUUUUUAGUUCUCAUGUUCCUAGCAACCUCUUAUACAUGACAGUGUUGUGAGUUGUUGCCUUGUGUAUAGUAGGGGAUGAGUUGCUUAACAAACAAUGAAGAGUUGCUUUACCCAA
rnacentral:lncRNA from 1 species